GAUGAACGCUGGCGGCGUGCCUAAUACAUGCAAGUCGAGCGAACGGACGAGAAGCUUGCUUUUCUGAUGUUAGCGGCGGACGGGUGAGUAACACGUGGAUAACCUACCUAUAAGACUGGGAUAACUUCGGGAAACCGGAGCUAAUACCGGAUAAUAUUUUGAACCGCAUGGUUCAAAAGUGAAAGACGGUCUUGCUGUCACUUAUAGAUGGAUCCGCGCUGCAUUAGCUAGUUGGUAAGGUAACGGCUUACCAAGGCAACGAUGCAUAGCCGACCUGAGAGGGUGAUCGGCCCCACUGGAACUGAGACACGGUCCAGACUCCUACGGGAGGCAGCAGUAGGGAAUCUUCCGCAAUGGGCGAAAGCCUGACGGAGCAACGCCGCGUGAGUGAUGAAGGUCUUCGGAUCGUAAAACGCUGUUAUUAGGGAAGAACAUAUGUGUAAGUAACUGUGCACAUCUUGACGGUACCUAAGCAGAAAGCCACGGCUAACUACGU
rnacentral:rRNA from 1 species